CGAUAGCGUAUAUUAAAGUUGUUGCAGUUAAAAAGCUCGUAGUUGGAUCUGUGGUGUGCGGUGGGCUCCGGGCACUUGUUGUCUGAGUAGCUCGCCGCUGCCAUCCUUGGGUGGAACCUGUGUGGCAUUAGGUUGUCGUGCAGGGGAUGCCCAUCGUUUACUGUGAAAAAAUUAGAGUGUUCAAAGCAGGCUUAUGCCGUUGAAUAUAUUAGCAUGGAAUAAUGAGAUAGGACUUUUUCGCUAUUUUGUUGGUUUGCGCGAAGAGGUAAUGAUUAAUAGGGACAGUUGGGGGUAUUCGUAUUCCAUUGUCAGAGGUGAAAUUCUUGGAUUUUUGGAAGACGAACUGCUGCGAAAGCAUUUACCAAGGAUGUUUUCAUUAA
rnacentral:rRNA from 1 species